ACACCUACGGGGGGCAGCAGUGAGGAAUAUUGGUCAAUGGGCGGGAGCCUGAACCAGCCAAGCCGCGUGAGGGAAGAAGGUACAGCGUAUCGUAAACCUCUUUUGUCAGGGAACAAAGGCGGGGACUAGUCCCCGGAUGAGGGUACCUGAAGAAAAAGCAUCGGCUAACUCCGUGCCAGCAGCCGCGGUAAUACGGAGGAUGCGAGCGUUAUCCGGAUUUAUUGGGUUUAAAGGGUGCGUAGGCGGAGUGUCAAGUCAGCGGUAAAAUUUCGGGGCUCAACCGCGUCGUGCCGUUGAAACUGACG
rnacentral:rRNA from 1 species